UACAGAGGGUGCAAGCGUUAAUCGGAAUUACUGGGCGUAAAGCGCGCGUAGGUGGUUUGUUAAGUUGGAUGUGAAAUCCCCGGGCUCAACCUGGGAACUGCAUUCAAAACUGACAAGCUAGAGUAUGGUAGAGGGUGGCGGAAUUUCCUGUGUAGCGGUGAAAUGCGUAGAUAUAGGAAGGAACACCAGUGGCGAAGGCGACCACCUGGACUGAUACUGACACUGAGGUGCGAAAGCGUGGGGAGCAAACAGG
rnacentral:rRNA from 1 species